AUUGAAUUUAGAAUGUCUUUGAAAACGUGUUUGUGAUCGGUUAGCGACUCAAAAUGGUUAACGCCUACUGAGAUUUUUGUCUCUAUCAUUUGUAUGGGAUUACGUAAAAGAAAGAGCGCUAUACUAAUUUCAUUCCGCGGAUAGAGUAUAUUUUAUAUAUUAGGUUAU